rnacentral:lncRNA from 1 species
UUUGGUUGAUGUACGCUUUCAAGGUUAACCGAAUUUAUAAUUAAACAUAAAGAUCAAUAUGAUACUUAAAUAAUGAUAUAUUCUAUGUAAUUUUAGUUUAUCGAAAUACUACUUUAAAUUUGAAAAAGAUAUAAGAAAUCUUGGCAUAUGAAUAUGAAAGAAAAAAGAGAUGAUUGACGCAUUUCAAGAACAAGAAAGUGAUAGAAUCUAUUAUUUAAAGUAAAUAAAGAUGAAUGCACUUUCUAAUUCUAUUAAAUAUUAUAUCUCAUGAGAGGAUUUCAAAUAUUUCUAGACAUCCUUUAAACAAAAUUCUAUAUAAAGUCUUAAAAAUAUAUAUAUAAAAAAUUAUAUAUUUAUAUGUCAGUUUGGUUCGGACUUUUUACUCAAUACCAAAUCAAAUUAAAUCAAACGUACUCGAGUUUUUUAAUCGGUUUGAUUUGACUUUUCGGUUUGGUACAGUUUUCCGGUUCGGUUUGUACACCCCUACCGAGAAUAUAGAUAAAAAAACGAGUUGUGUAGUGGAUGACGAGGAAGGUCCAAAAUCUAUAUAAUAACCAUAGGAUGAAAGGAGUUGUUGCCAAAACCAAUUUAUUGUUAGAGAUGGAACAUUCACUAAUGGCCACUCGAAGUUACUUUUUGCUCUUCUCUUCUUUUACUUUUCUUCUCAUUUUGCUUUCAUUCCCUGUGGAGAAAAGCCAUGCUUUGGAAGCAAAAGAAACCAUUGAAUCCCAUUUUCACACUCUCCAACUCACCUCUCUGCUUCCUUCCUCUUCUUGCAACACUGCAACCAAAGGUAAUUAAUUAACUCUCCCUAAAUUAUCAUCAUAAUAUUUACCACUAACUCAAAUAGAUAACGUAAUUCACGUAUGUAGAUUAUAUUUGGUGUGGGUGUGUGAAUAUAGUAUGUCGGCAUAUGUUUGUGUAUUUUUAAUUUGUUUUAUAUUGCUAUCACCAUUUUCAUUUUAAAUCUUCAUCCUUAAUUUUCUUUGGUGGGGUGGGGUGGCCUGAGGUUGAAUGAGUGGAGAAGGGGAGGGGAUUAUUUUGUAUUAUCUGUAUUUAACGUAACAUUUUUUUCUUUUUAGCUCAAAAAGGAAAUCUUUUUAUAUUUAAAAGCACUUCAGUUUAGAUUUUUCAUGUUAUUUUUAAUUAGAUAGAUGGUCUUAUAGUCAUAAAAAUGUCAUAACAUGGUUAAAAAUACAAGUUUAAAUAACACUUUAGGUACAUAUUAAAAGCUUUAUUUAGUUUUUGUCUGUCUUAUAAAAUGAAAUGAACGAAAUAUAUAUUACAUAAACUGCUUUUUUUUUUCCUUUUUAGUUUUGCUUGUUUGUUACUUGGUUGUGUGAUUGGGACGAUGGUGUGGAUUGUGGUGAGAAAAAGCAGGUCAACGAAUUCUUUGAUACUCCUAUUUGCUUUUCAAAAAGUUGUGAGGUGAAAGUAACGCAAUAAUCCACAUGAUUGAACAUAGUGUUUUCACUAUAUAGAAGAACUUUAACAAGAAAAAAGAGAGAAAAAAUGUAACCAUCAGCAUGGUUCGAACUAACAUUACUUUUACCCUAAGAUAUUACAUUUUAUAUUAUUGGGACCAAAGUUUUGUCAGUAUAGAUUUUUAAUGGACCGAAUAAAUGUGAAUUUUCUAACAAAUUUAGGAUAGUAUCCGAAAAAGGUGCAAAAUGAUGAUAAGUUUAAAAUUAAAAUCCUACUGAUGUAAUACCGCUUUAAGAUGAUCUUGCUAUCAUCAGCACUAUACUUUGUACCUGCAUUUCACGUUAGUUUGCAAUUAUUGACGAUGUUUUCAUAUUCGCUAUUUGCUACUUUAUUUCAUUUCUUGUCUCACUUUCAUAUGCAUUUCUAGCUCCAGCCUGUCAUGCAAGUUUCUGGAAAAUUAAUAAUCAAAUUGAAUAUUUUGGUAAAUAAAGUAGAAAAGAGAAAGAAAUUAGAAUAGAGUACUAUAACUCACUAAUAGUGAAGAUUAUAAUAAAAGAAGAAGAAGAAAAGAAUUUGGUGAAGAUUUCUCCAAGCUUGCAACCUAACAACCAGUCAAAUGGAAUCAAUAUUUUUAUGUGCAAUUAGUCAAAGUUAUCACGACUUUCUUAAACUUCUUUAAAAUAUUUUAAAGUACUUAUUAUUGUGACUUAUAAUACCUUUUAUUUUUAAAUAUACAAAUUUUAAUUUCAGAAAACUUGAAAAAUCUCUAUCUAAAUUCACAUAAAAAAAACUAAGUAGUUUGAUUUCAGAAAACAUUCGUAUCAUAUACAUUAAUCUAUCCACCAUAAACACAAAAGCACAACUAUUUUAGCCUAUAGUUCUCAAAACCAAACAUUAUCCUUACGAGUGAGAGACAGCUGUAAAACUUUACUUUGAGGCAAAUGAUUAGAGCUGAAAACCAUUGUCUUGUCUUUAUUUACCAAAUGAUUACUUCAAAAUACUUUGAUUAAUGAAGUAUGACUCGGGUCUACUAAAACUCUUUAAGGGAAAAUUAUUGCUUAUGUUCCCUGAAUUUUCUUUGACCACCUUUUAUAUUUUAAUCUACUAGUUUUAGUGUAUGUGAGUUGCACGUGUGUGCCGCCUCAAUUAAUAUAUAUAUAUAUAUAUAUAUAUAAGAAAAACCAAAUUAUUGAAAAAGAGCAAUUUAUAUCAAAAUUUUGCUUAAGAAAAUAAUUAGUAAAAGAUAAUAAUUUUUUUAUUGAUUUUAAAUUUUAUAUAUGAAAACUUCUAUAUGGUUCAAAUAAUGCAUAUUCGAUAAAUACAAUUGACUUUAAAGUUCUAAAUAAGUAAAUUUUAGGAAAAUUAACACAUG